GCAAGAUAUACAUUUUUGCUUUAUCCAAAAUAUCCUUAGCUUACAACCAGUUGUAUUAGUGUGAGGGCCUUGUCCUUUUAAGAAGAAAAGAUAAGUAUUACUUCCCUUCUCUACUUUCCAUGUCUAACUUCCCUUCUCUACUUUCCAUGUCUAAUGGUUUUUUUUCUCAUUCUUCUGUUUUCUGUUCUUCAACCCACGAAAAAUGAUCCAGUCAGUAGUUCUUUUUGUUAGUUCUCUUUUUGCUAGAAACCUCUUAUUCCUUUCAUCAAUUUUACUGUAUUUAAAAGAAUUUAUUCAUUUUUUUGUUAUGUUCAAUGAACUUCUGGAUUUACUUUUCUUUUUUUGAAAAAUUUUCACAUCCAAUUGUUUUACAUCAACGAAUUUGUGGAAUUUUAUUAUUAGUAAAAGGAAGGGGGGAAAACGAGGGGCCCCCGGGGAAGAGGGGGGAGAAGGGGUGGUGGGGAGCAAAGAUACGUUGAGUUAGUUUAAUUUUAAAAAUUGAAAUUCACGUGGGGUUUAAUUUUUGUAAAAAGAACAAAAAACUCCAAACGUAAAUGUUCUUCAAUAAGCUAUUAUGAAUAUUUUGGGUAAAGCAAAAUGACAAUCUUUCAAACAUACCAUCUGCAUAAAUUGCUGGGUUUUAAGUGAAGUGUAAAUAAAAAAUGAAGGAAAUAAAUAAAAGGAAAAGUGAAUUGUGUUUUCACUUCAGUUAUUAUAUAUUAUUGUGACUCUUUAUAAUCUUUUGUAUCCUUGUACAUCUUUUUCUUAGAUUAUAUAUUUUUCUUUAGUGGAGGAUCUAUCGAACAACCUCUCUAUUCCAUCUCUGAAGUAAUGGUGUGGACUGCAUACACUCUACCCUCUUCAGAUCACAUUAUAUGGGAAUGUAUUAAAUAUAUUAUUGUUAUUGCAUGUAGUGGAUAUAUUAUUGUUAUUGUUGUUGUUGACAUUUAUAUUUAUGGUGAUGAAUAUUAUAAUUUAUAAAUAUACUUGGUUCUUUAAUUCUCUAAGUUUUUGAUUUUUUAAUAUUCAAUUCAUGUAUCUAUUACACUACUGUUGUGUUUUAAAUAAUUAUUUUCGUCCCUAACACAGGGAUGAAAACUACUAUUUUCCCCUAUAUAAAAAUAAAAAGCAACGAAACUUGUGUUAAUUUUUUUUUAGGUAAUUUUGAGGAUUUUACUAACUUAUAAGUAAAAAUACAGUACAAAGGCCCAACACCCAUAAAAGUCCACAAACAAAAACAAAAAUAAAAAAUGGUCCUGCCUCAAUUCGGUUAACCCGAAUUGGUCAUAUAUAAACCUUGUAGGAUUUCUAAAAAAGACUCAUUUCCUAUCUCUCCACUUUUUCUAACAUCUAAGCUCAUGUUGCCGCCACUUUUCAAUUCUAAGUUCAUCCUUCUCCUCUUGUGGGUUAUCAACAUCCGUGGUCUUAUGUGUCUGAAUACUGCUAUUGAAUUCUCAACUAUCAAGAGUCAGAUUUGUUCUUCCUUGCUCUGCUUUGCUUUAGAUUUAGAUCUCCUCUAAUGCUCUUUUUUCCUUGGCAGUUGUGUUCUCUGGUGAAUGGUGUAGGCUUCCUUUUCAUCUCUGCAGGAUCUUAUCUGUUGUUACUAUUACUGAUCAAUUGGUGGAACUGGAAUGAAGUGCAAGGGCAGCUUUAAUCCACCGCCCCAAUGUUGAGCUGUUUGGCAACAAUUUCUCCAUCCCAAUCUGACUUCAGAUCCAUCACUUUUGUCGGGUCCUUUUUAUUGGUUGUUGUAUAUAGGCUAAACAACAUUUCACUAUUUUUGAUGCCUUUGUGGCUAUUUGUAAUUAUGCGUGUGAUGAACAUUAUGCUAAGCGUUUUUAGCCCCUUAUCCCUUUAAUGGAGAUACUCUUAAGUAAGGACUUUGUAAUUUGUCAUUGUUAAUCAACCUUCUACCAGCGGGUUUUAGAUUGUUAAAA